rnacentral:rRNA from 1 species
GAUAAACGCUGGCGGCGUGCCUAAUACAUGCAAGUCGAGCGAACAGACGAGGAGCUUGCUCCUCUGACGUUAGCGGCGGACGGGUGAGUAACACGUGGAUAACCUACCUAUAAGACUGGGAUAACUUCGGGAAACCGGAGCUAAUACCGGAUAAUAUAUUGAACCGCAUGGUUCAAUAGUGAAAGACGGUUUUGCUGUCACUUAUAGAUGGAUCCGCGCCGCAUUAGCUAGUUGGUAAGGUAACAGCUUACCAAGGCAACGAUGCGUAGCCGACCUGAGAGGGUGAUCGGCCACACUGGAACUGAGACACGGUCCAGACUCCUACGGGAGGCAGCAGUAGGGAAUCUUCCGCAAUGGGCGAAAGCCUGACGGAGCAACGCCGCGUGAGUGAUGAAGGUCUUCGGAUCGUAAAACUCUGUUAUUAGGGAAGAACAAAUGUGUAAGUAACUAUGCACGUCUUGACGGUACCUAAUCAGAAAGCCACGGCUAACUACGUG